GACGAACGCUGGCGGCGUGCUUAACACAUGCAAGUCGAACGGAAAGGCCCCGUUGGGGGUACUCGAGUGGCGAACGGGUGAGUAACACGCAAGUAACCUGCCCUUGACUUCCGGAUAACUUCAGGAAACUGGGGCUAAUACCGGCUAGGAAUGCUUGCUGCAUGGUGGGGGUUGGUAAGAUUCGGCGGUUUUGGAUGGACUCGCGGCUUAUCAGCUUGUUGGUGGGGUAGUGGCUUACCAAGGCUUUGACGGGUAGCCGGCCUGAGAGGGCGACCGGCCACAUUGGGACUGAGAUACGGCCCAGACUCCUACGGGAGGCAGCAGUGGGGAAUAUUGCACAAUGGGCGGAAGCCUGAUGCAGCAACGCCGCGUGCGGGAUGACGGCCUUCGGGUUGUAAACCGCUUUCAGCAGGGGCGAAGCUUUUGUGACGGUACCUGCAGAAGAAGCACCGGCUAACUACGUG
rnacentral:rRNA from 1 species